rnacentral:lncRNA from 13 species
CUCUUGUCUCAGCCUCCCAAAUGGGAUUACAAGUGCCCACCACCACACACAGCUAAUUUUUUGGAUUUUAGUAGAGACAGCGUUACAUCAUAAUGGCCAGGCUGCUCUAGAACUCCUGACCUCAAGUGAUCCACCCACCUCAGCCUCCCAAAAUGCUGGGAUUACAGGCAUAAGCCACAGUUCCAGGUCUCUUAAAAUUUUUGAAGUCAAUCCUCAGUGUCUGGAGUAGGUAGACAGACCCAUUGGGCAGGAUACUACAAGCCCCAAUUAUUUAUUUCCAUCAGGACACUCUCUAGUCUUCUCCCCUUCAUGGAAGGAUAACCACAGACCCUGAAAAGCCCCUGGACUUGUGCCUUUGGGGUCAUUCUGGGAUAUGUUGAACAGUCCCAUUUGAAGGGAAGAGGGACUGAGAAACGGAUCUGUGGCUGACUGGCCAGAAUCCAUAUUAAUUGUACAUAGGAAUUCAAGAAAUUACAAGAAAUAAGCUAGGGGAGGAAGAGAAUUGUUUGAAGGCAAAACCUCAGAGAAAAUAGCUAAAUAAUUAUGGUUUAAACAUGGCCUGAAGUGAAAGGGAGCCCUGAGGCUGGAGAUAAUUUUCCAGGAAUCAUAAAGGCAUCUAAUGAAGCUUUUGAAAUCAAGUUACAAAGAGCUGGAAACUUCUGAGAGGCACAAUAUGUAUGGCAGCUCACAAUCUUUCAGAUCAGAAGGACCCGUUCUCCUGUUCUAUGUCGAGCAUGGAAAAGAACACUUCGUGAUCCAUCUACAAUCGAAGAAAAUUCUUUCAGGCAGUGUGCUUUUUGUAAUGAAGGAUUAACACGAAUUAACAAUAAAUUUUUUAAGUUUGAAAAUGUCACAGAAAUAUUUAGGGAACACACACAUACAGGUAGAACCAGUAUCUUGUUUAUUUACCCUGACAAUUCACUAUCUUUGUGUGGUUUUAUACAGGUGUUGACUUUCAAAGCUAAAAAAAAAAAAAAAAAAAAGGAUGUAAUCCCAGCUACUCGGGAGGCUGAGGCUGAGGCUGAGGCAGGAGAAUUGCCUGAACCCAGGAGGCGGAGGUUGCAGUGAGCCAAGAUCGCACCAUUGCACUCCAGCCUGGGUAACAAGAGUGAAAUUCCG